rnacentral:lncRNA from 1 species
UUGCCAUCUGAGGAAGAGCUCCACGAUGCCAGGGUAAUUGUGGUAUCUCUCUUGGAUAUUUCGUUGUUCGGCAUGGAGCUUGAAAUUCUGCCUUGCUAUUCUUUCCUGCGAUUCCUCCCAAAACAAGCAAUGGUGAUGUCACAAGGGCCCAUAUGAGGAAAAUGACAACGAUGGUACCGAAUGGAAGUGCUGCAGUUGCAUGAUAAGCAAUUGCAACAGUAUUAAGGAAGCAGAAUGUGAGAAACAGCGGUCCACAGAACAGACCUCCUGUCAACAACAAAUUCCUUACCUGUAAAAAGAAAUUGAAUUUGAGAUUAGUACAUAUUUUCCUCUUUCUACGUGAUACCAACCGAACAAUCUCAAGUAAAUAUUAAUUCCGCGAAAGGGGCGACCACUACAUUAAUUGUUGGGAACCACUGUUUUUGGUUUCAAGGAUAAUAAGUUGUAAACAACAAAGAGGAAAGGAGAGAAACUACAGAAAGAGAGAAAAGAACGGCGAGGAAAAGCCAGUAAAAGGACGAGGUAAACUUAAAAGAGAAAGUUGUCUCAAAAGAUUGUCAAUCCCACAAAAUUCAUGGAAACUUAGGACAGAAAAUAACACAAUCGGAGCAACAACAACAACAACAAAAACAAGCCCAGUGUAGUCCCACAAGUGGGGAUAAUACAAUCGGAGCAACAUCCCAUAUAGGUGAUACCAACCAAUUGGAUUAAGGUUUGGCCAUGUUGGUACACUUGAAUAAGAGUGUUUAUAAAUAGCCUUUUUUAACAGAUUUGCAUGUCAGUAGUAAAGGUGAAUAAUGUUAGUAAUAUGAUAAGUUUGGAUUAAGGCAUAGCAAUUGUUGUUGUAAGGGAAGCCCAAAAAAGAUGAUGUUAAGUGAAAGGAAGAGAAGAAGCUCCUAAGUCCUAAUUUAUUUUGAUAAGGUGAGAAGCUUUUCUUGUGCUCUCGAACUAGCCCCUAAUUCUCUUAUGGCAAAACCUUGGUAACUCCUAAAAGUGUAGCAGCUUACCCCUUUUGUCAAUCCCCACCUACAUUUCUGCAUCUUUUUUAAAUUCUAAAGAAAUCUCCUAUUAACACCUCCCACCCACCCCCCAACCCCCCAAAAUUUAAUCUUUUUUGCUUCUUCUCAAUUUCUUUCAUCUUUCUCUUAUUUUCAUUUCCUCCUCAACCUCUUGCUCACUCAAGAGUAAACCCCUCCCCUUUUGUUUUUUCCCCUCUUGCCUUUUUCUUUUUCCCGUUGCUCCUUUUUUCCAGUCCUUACCUUCUUCUCUUGUCUCCCCCCCCCCCCCCAACCAGCCAAGACACAUGUUCCCUCCUCAGCCCACCUUCCAUAAUCCACCUUAAAAGUGAAACUAAUGUAGUUUUCCAUCAAACAUACCGAAUAUAAGUGAAAUAUGCUAGGGUGUGUUGCCAAAAAGAUUAUUGCUAUAGGGGCAAACAAGAGUUACUUAAGCUAUUGUUGGAAGACUGAAAACCAUACCAACAUGCUUCAGUGUUGGGUUUGACAUCAUGUGACAUGAAAUAUAGAGAUGUUUGACAUUUUUACAAGCAGAACCUAUAGCCCUUUUUUAUGUAACGACCAAGGGAGAGGCAUAUCCAGGAACACAAGCAUGUUGGGUCUCUAAUUGUCGGAUGCAUAUCAUAGGCCUUCUAUGUUGCGAUAUAGCUCCACCAUUCUCCCUCCCACAAAACAAGAUCUUGUACUGCAGAAUAUGCUCUUUUGAACUAAAUUCGCGGAGAAAGUUUUACACUUUACUCUUAAAAAUCCUAUCACGACUAAUCCAUGUCAAAACCAAGAGACCUUUGCUAACUAGAAGAGAAUGAUGAAAUAAAGAAACUAAGUGAACACAAUAAGAGAUGCACUUGUAGGAAAUUUUGGCUACUUUGCAACAAUAAAAAUAAUGCUCCAUACUUUCUUACCCAAUUUUUUCCUUCAAGUUGGCAAUAGAAUGAUGCUGCAGUAUAGCCUGCAAUUCCUGAUGUAAGAGCAUAAAUAACAACCAAAGCUGUGAAAAGAGCUCCUCGGUUGUAGGGGUAAAACACGCCAACAAGCGCAAGUAUGAAUAUGAAAAUUGUCCUGGGAAAAAGAGGCGGUGAGAAUUAACAUUUGUCAAAGAAAUUUAUCACGAGCUAAAUAAAUCAAGAACCAAAUAAACCCAUUUUAUUGGCAUGCAUACUUACAAGGUAAACAACUGUGUGCCAGAACCCAGGGCUGCUGCAAAAAGUGAGUUCCGCUUUGGGUACCUAAACACGUCGCCGUGAAUGUACUUCCACCCAGUUUCUUCUUGGUCAUCAGCUGUUUCCUCGUCAUGGGCGUAUCUUUAACCAAAACAGGACAUACCAUAGGAUGAGUACAAGCUCCUCGAAAAAUGAGUAUCCUACCCCACAAAAUUUUUAGUUACUUACUUGACAAAGUCAUUUUUAAGGACUCGCAUCAGAAUUGUGGCAAGAAAACCAGUUAAGAGCAGAACUGUGACACAAGAAUUAAUGAUAGAGAACCAGUGGAUCUCCAAAUGAUGUGGUAAAGCUGAAGUCUGUGAGUACUUUUCCAUCCUUUUCUCAAAAGGGAUGUCUGUUUCCUUCCAUUUGACAGAGUACAUGAAGUCUACAUCAACUUCCUUAUCUUCGGUUAUGUCGACUAAGGCAUUGGGAUCAGUUCGUGCAUUAACUUCAAUCACGCGAUCGUUGUUGAAAUGGAUGUCAAAAUGAAGAUGUUUAAAAAGGUAGUAUUUGUACUCAUUGGGGUCAGAUUUUCUCUCCUUAUCUACCUUACCAAUAAAACCCCAAAUGG